rnacentral:lncRNA from 1 species
GCUCAGUACCCUUUUGGUUCUGAUAAUGCCAUACUGUUAGCUGUCUUUGGGCUCCUACUGAAGCUUCAGUGACUUCCUGCCACAAAGCAUUUGCUUCACAUGGGACUCUAUCUACUGCUUGCACACUCCCCUCACUGGGUAACACACUUGAGAAUGCAUACAAGUCCCUUAAUGCUUAGGUAUUUAUUGAGAUCAGCCUCCCACACUGUUUUGAUGUUGACCACACUUGGUGUAUCAAGUGAGGUCACAAAAAAUAUUGACUUUGACAUAACCCCCUUUAUAGCAAGUAGUGUACGCUAUUAUGUGAUGUGUGUGAAAGUGCAGAGAUGUAUAUAUGCACACAUGUUAGUUCAUUUCACUUGGAUUGUGAAAGUUCAAUUUUUGGUGUGCAAAACAUUAUACAAUGUGCAUUUUUAACAAAGACAAUGA